rfam:Puccinia triticina 1-1 BBBD Race 1 supercont2.5879, whole genome shotgun sequence.
GCGUCUGUAGUCUAGUUGGUAAAGGCAGCACUCUAGUAUGUGUCUCAGCAUAGCUGAGGUCGUGAGUUCGACUCUCACCAGACACA